rnacentral:rRNA from 1 species
CCUACGGGGGACAGCAGUAGGGAAUUUUCGUCAAUGGGCGCAAGCCUGAACGAGCAAUGCCGCGUGAACGAGGAAGGUCUUCGGAUCGUAAAGUUCUGUUGAAGGGGAAAAAGAGCGGAGAGAGGAAAUGGUCUCCGAUUGAUAUUACCCUUCGAGGAAGUCACGGCUAACUACGUGCCAGCAGCCGCGGUAAUACGUAGGUGGCGAGCGUUAUCCGGAAUGAUUGGGCGUAAAGGGUGCGUAGGCGGUCUGCUAAGUCUGGAGUGAAAGGUACCGGCUCAACCGGUACAGGCUCUGGAAACUGGCGGGCUAGAGAGCAGGAGAGGGCGGUGGAACUCCAUGUGUAGCGGUAAAAUGCGUAGAUAUAUGGAAGAACACCAGUGGCGAAGGCGGCCGCCUGGCCUGUGACUGACGCUGAGGCACGAAAGCGUGGGGAGCAAAUAGGAUUAGAUACCCCAGUAGUC